rnacentral:rRNA from 2 species
CUCGUGUCGUGAGAUGUUGGGUUAAGUCCCGCAACGAGCGCAACCCUUGAUCUUAGUUGCCAGCAUUCAGUUGGGCACUCUAAGGUGACUGCCGGUGACAAACCGGAGGAAGGUGGGGAUGACGUCAAAUCAUCAUGCCCCUUAUGACCUGGGCUACACACGUGCUACAAUGGAUGGUACAAAGGGCUGCAAACCUGCGAAGGUAAGCGAAUCCCAUAAAGCCAUUCUCAGUUCGGAUUGCAGGCUGCAACUCGCCUGCAUGAAGCCGGAAUCGCUAGUAAUCGCGGAUCAGCAUGCCGCGGUGAAUACGUUCCCGGGCCUUGUACACACCGCCCGUCACACCACGAGAGUUUGUAACACCCGAAGUCGGUGAGGUAACCUUCCAGGAGCCA